CAGCCGCCACGGUAAUACGGAGGGUGCAAGCGUUAAUCGGAAUUACUGGGCGUAAAGCGCACGCAGGCGGUCUGACAAGUCAGAUGUGAAAUCCCCGGGCUUAACCUGGUAACUGCAUUUGAAACUGUCAGGCUGGAGUCUUGUAGAGGGGGGUGGAAUUCCAGGUGUAGCGGUGAAAUGCGUAGAGAUCUGGAGGAAUACCGGUGGCGAAGGCGGCCCCCUGGACAAAGACUGACGCUCAGGUGCGAAAGCGUGAGGAGCAAACAGGAUUAGAUACCCCGGUAGUCCCUGUCUCUUAUAC
rnacentral:rRNA from 1 species